GAUGAACGCUGGCGGCGUGCCUAAUACAUGCAAGUCGAGCGAACGGACGAGAAGCUUGCUUCUCUGAUGUUAGCGGCGGACGGGUGAGUAACACGUGGAUAACCUACCUAUAAGACUGGGAUAACUUCGGGAAACCGGAGCUAAUACCGGAUAAUAUUUUGAACCGCAUGGUUCAAAAGUGAAAGACGGUCUUGCUGUCACUUAUAGAUGGAUCCGCGCUGCAUUAGCUAGUUGGUAAGGUAACGGCUUACCAAGGCAACGAUGCAUAGCCGACCUGAGAGGGUGGUCGGCCACACUGGAACUGAGACCAGGUCCAGACUCCUACGGGAGGCAGCAGUAGGGAAUCUUCCGAAAUGGGCGAAAGCCUGACGGAGCAACGCCGCGUGAGUGAUGAAGGUCUUCGGAUCGUAAAACUCUGUUAUUAGGGAAGAACAUAUGUGUAAGUAACUGUGCACAUCUUGACGGUACCUAAUCAGAAAGCCACGGCUAACUACGUG
rnacentral:rRNA from 1 species